CACGUAGGGGGCAAGCGUUGUCCGGAUUUACUGGGCGUAAAGAGCGUGUAGGCGGCCAAGCAGGUCCGUUGUGAAAACUGGAGGCUUAACCUCCAGACGUCGACGGAAACCGCGUGGCUAGAGUCCGGAAGAGGAGAGUGGAAUUCCUGGUGUAGCGGUGAAAUGCGCAGAUAUCAGGAAGAACACCCGUGGCGAAGGCGGCUCUCUGGGACGGUACUGACGCUGAGACGCGAAAGCGUGGGGAGCGAACAGG
rnacentral:rRNA from 1 species